rnacentral:rRNA from 1 species
UGCAGUGAGUCGCGCGCUAUCACCGAUAUCAGUCUGUGUUGGGCGCGGUACGUACCUCGAUGUCGGACCGCUAUUGGGCCUACCUUCAUGGCCCAUCGCUACGGGCCCCUAAUAAGGCAUUGCCCCUAGCCAACUGACCACUACCCCUAAGUGCGGCUCCCAGACCGUUUAGUACUGAUGUCUGCUAUCCGAGAAGGGAACACUUAGG